rnacentral:rRNA from 1 species
CGGAACGGGUGAGUAACACGUGGGCAACCUGCCCAAAAGAGGGGGAUAACACUUGGAAACAGGUGCUAAUACCGCAUAACCAUAGUUACCGCAUGGUAGCUAUGUAAAAGGUGGCUAUGCUACCGCUUUUGGAUGGGCCCGCGGCGCAUUAGCUAGUUGGUGGGGUAAAGGCUUACCAAGGCAAUGAUGCGUAGCCGAACUGAGAGGUUGAUCGGCCACAUUGGGACUGAGACACGGACCAGACUCCUACGGAAGGCAGCAG